CACUACAAAGGGAAAAAAUGUAAACAAUCAAAUUUUUUUUAAAGCAAUGAAUCUAAUUUCACCCGAAAAUCGAAAUCAAGACGGCUUUUAUUUAAAAAUACUAUAUGAAAAUGUUUUUUUAAAUAAAUAUUAAGCGAUGUGAAUUCUUGAAUGGCAAAAACAGCUGUUUUUUCAUCUUUCCAACGGCAGUGAGAACGGGCUGAUUAGUGAAUGUAAUUAAAUGUAAUCUAAUCCCUUUAAAUUUUCGGCCUGAACAUGGUAUUACACCGUUCAAGAAUUUGAGAAGAGCAACGGAAUCUCGCUAUUAUGUAUUUGAAUUGUAAUAAAUUGUAAACAUUAUUCCUUUUGACGCUUUCAAUUUCAAAAUAAUUUGAUAAUCGCAAGAAUGCUCGUAAUUGGUUAUUGGAGAUAUCCUCCAGACAAUUCGUUGCAAAAUAAGAAGUAUCUUAAUUCCGGAUUUGUAUUGCCGAAUAUUAUGUCAUCUUAAAAAAACGAAAAAACACAACAGAAAUAACAUAAACAUGUUAAAAAUCAAGAUUUUUAAAACUAGCAAGCAGAACAGAAGCCUCUUUACAGAAGGAAACUAAACGUUAUUAAUGUUGCAUUAAUAACCAACGAAUCUUCAUACAUACAUACAUAUGUACAUUCACACAUGCAUAUGUAUAUUCUGACGACCUCCACAGCUAGAUUUGGCAUCUUCCUCCGCAACUGGGCUUACCAUAUGCAAGGAAUUUAACAAUGCCCACACUUAUAAGUGCUUCUAUUGAGGAAACACUAACUUUAUUGUAAACACCAGGCAAAGUCGACAGCAUGCACCGGUUGAUGUCAUUAAAGUUACAAACCUCUGUAAAAACGGUCGAAGAAAUUUAGUCUCAGUCGGUUGCUGAAAUAUCCUCGUGAAAGCAGUAUAAAAUAGGUGUAAUGAAGACACGCCUUCACAGAAACCCAUUCUGGCCAAUAAGAAAAUUUUCUGUAACAAAAAUGUCGCCGAUACAAUAGAUUAAUAAUUCGUUAUUAGAAAUCACCAUUAUUGGUAAAUAAAAAGUUUUAGACGUUGCA